rnacentral:rRNA from 1 species
GAUGAACGCUGGCGGCGUGCUUAAUACAUGCAAGUCGAGCGGUAACACUUCGGGUGACGAGCGGCGGACGGCUGAGUAACGCGUAGGAACCUACCCCAAACUGAGGGAUAAGCAUCAGAAAUGGUGUCUAAUACCGCAUGUGCUCUACGGAGUAAAGCUUCGGCGGUUUGGGAAGGGCCUGCGUAUGAUUAGCUUGUUGGUGAGGUAAUGGCUCACCAAGGCGACGAUCAUUAGCUGGUCUGAGAGGAUGAUCAGCCAGACUGGGACUGA